UCUCUCUCUCUCUCUCUCUCUCUCUCUCUCUCUCUCUGAAUAUUACCACACACAAGUAUGUGUUUGUGUUUUCAAGAACCCUAAUUAGGGUUUCGAUGAGGAAGACGGAGAUGUGAAAGAAUUCUGAAAAGACUGGUGCUUUUUCUGUUCUUCCACAGCUUUCUUGAACUGCUUAUGGUUAUCUUUUAGAUCUCUGUCUAUUUGAGUUCGAUCUUGCGGUUCAAUAAAGCUGUGGGAAGACAGAGAAAGGAUCACCCCAGAAAAGCAUAAACUAUCACUUUCUAGAUCAGAUCCGAUCUAAUUCCAUCUCUUUUCAUGGUAUAUUUCACUGAACUUUAUUCGCUUUUUUGUUGCUUAAUUGCGAUUUUGAUCUAUGUUCUCUGUCUCUAUUAUUAAAUGAUAUAUGUGCAUAAAUAUAGCUACAUAAACACACGGGAAUCAAUUGAUUUUGGCAUUUUUAUUGAGAAUUAUAUAUAUAUAAACGACAAAGAAAUCCCAUUCAUGUUCAAUGUUGUUUCGCUGUAUGUCUUUAUGUUGUAUCAUGGACAUGAUAUCUGGUUUUGGAAAGCUUAUAUUUUUUUUUCUUUUAUAGGUUUUUAUUUUUAUUUUUGGAUAGUUAAGGUACAUGCCUUCAUAAUUAGUGAUAAGUUUGCAAUUUAAUUGUGUAUUUACUGAGGUGGCCAAAGUGAAUGGAUUAAUAGGAGGGUACCCGACUAGAAUGUAGUUGGACCACAAGGUAUGCAUGUUCUUUAACCAUAUGGAACUGUCCAACAAACUUAGAACUCUUAAGUUUUAAAGACAUUUAUGUGAAUAAGGUGUUAUGCCAAACACAUUUGUUUAUAACCGUCGAUUUUCAUAUAUGCUUUCUUGAAGAUGCAAGUUCAUAAUGAAUAUUGGCUUUUUAGAUGCUAAAAAUCACAAAUAAUUCUAGUGUUUCAGAACUGGGUUGAAAGGUAUAUUUGAGAAGUAAAUAUUUGUAGUUGUGCAAAAAUUCAAAUCUCACGUUGGAACUCACGUUUUAGUGAUUUAUAUUUUCUCCUAUUUGAGUUGUUUCUAUUUUGCAAAUGAGAAAAAAGAAAAAAAGCUCUUCGUCAUGUGCUAAAUACCUAUAUAUUAAUUUACCUUUUGAGAAUUGUUAUUUAUCGGUUUUUUUCAUCUUUUUUAAUUAUAGUUAGAAUGCAAGUUUGAUUAGGGUUGAUCCAAUAACACAACCGAAGAGGCAACCAAAUCGUAGUUGUUACCUGAAUAUGGACUCAUUCUAUCCCACCCGACCCAAAUUAAAAAGCAAACUUAAUUGGAGAAAGAAGAAGGGAGGCAUAUGAUCUAAAUUUAGUGUUUUUAAUAUGUAAUUCGAUUUGAAUUCAACGCUUUCCGCAUCCAAAAGAACACGGGCAUUAGCAGAAGUUAGUAAAAGCUAUGAGUUCACAGGAUGGAGAGUAUAAAAAUAGAAUAAAGUUUGUUUACCCAACAAACAAUCAAAGUAGGUAGAAACUCAACAUUGAUUCCAAGUGUGGAUCUAAUGUCAGUGAAAUGAUCAUUAAACAUCAAAUUAAUUAGAGGGGAUGAGAGAUGAGAUUGAGAAUAAGAAGGAUAAAUGUGUUGACCGAGAAGGUUCUAGAGUGAGUUGGUGGCGGAAAAAGGAAGCAAGAGGUGACAUUGAUGCUUGAAACAAAGCAACAUGUGGAGACAACAUGUUUCAAACGAAGCAGGUGUUGGCAUCGUGACUACAAGCACAGAGGCAGACACGUGACAACCAUACGAUAACGUUUUCACAAACAUUAUAGACGUCGACAUUGUCAUAAGCAUGAGAUGGGUAAGGAUGGUGAGGACGACACGACAGGAGCAUGAGGUGCCUUAUCCGGAGGUAAGGAUGAUGGGACACAAAGAAACGAUACGUGUUACACGCCUAAAACCAAACACAAGCUCUUAAUCCAUGACGAACUUUUUAGAACUUUGAUAAAAACCAAACUCUAGAAAGAAGCUAAAGUAUAAUAAAAUUAGUUUCAUAAUGUCAAAACUAUAAGUGGGAUUUUCCCCCAUUUAGUCCAACUAAGAUUAGCCUUCUCACAACUAGAAAGAAGUGUUGUUUCCGACGGUCAAUGUCAUCGGAAAUGCUUAGGAAACAUGUGUUUUUGAUGAACUUUCGAAGAAAUGAAACAUCAUGUUUGAAUUCUUUUGUGUAUUUAGUUCCCUUGGAAAUGUGUAGACAUUUUUGAAGGGAUGUAUAUUAAAAUAGAAAAAUGUGUUUAUAAUAUUUUCUUUAAAUUCCAUCGAAAAUGUUUUGGAAGUAUUGACACAUUUUAGUUCUUCAGAAAUUAUCAUAAGACCCCUAUAUCUUUCAAGUAGUGUAAUUUUUAUUUGUAAUCCACAUAAAAGAAUGAGAAGUAGUGGAAGAGACAUAAAUUUCUCAUGGUUUAGGUUUAUCUAGAUUGAAACCUGAUUGAUUCUGGAACCUCUAAAACUUUGGCACUAACUCUCAUUCCAUCAUAUAGUAUCAUGACAAAAAAAAAAACUAAGUUACCUACUAGAGGCUCAUGCUUGACUCAUUUCCCACAUUCUCAAUGAUUUCUUUUAGAACAUCAAACCUAAAAGAAGUAUUGUUCCAAGAUUCAAUAAUACCUUUCUAAUGAGAGUAUUCUCUUAUCAAGUGAAAAAAAUAUCCAUAGUUAAAACUAUAACCCAUUUAGUCCAACUAAGAUUAGCCUUCCCACAACUAGAAAGAAGUAUUGUUUCCGACGGUCAAUGUCAUCGGAAAUGCCUAGGAAACAUGUGUUUUUUGAGGAACUUCUGAAGAAAUGAAACAUCAUGUUUCAAUUCUUUUGAGUAUUUAGUUUCCUUUGGAAAUGUAUAGACAUUUUUGAAGGGAUCUAUAUUAAAAUAGAAAAAUGUGUUUCUAAUAUUUUCUUGAAAUUCCAUCGAAAAUGUUUUGGAAGUAUUGACAUGUUUUAGUUCUUCAAAAAUUAUCAUAAGACCCCUAUAUCUUUCAAGUAGUGUAAUUUUUAUUUGUAAUCCACAUAAAAGAAUGAGAAGUAGUGGAAGAGACAUAAAUUUCUCAUGGUUUAGGUUUAUCUAGAUUGAAAUCUGAUUGAUUCUGGAACCUCCAAAACUUCGGCAUUAACUCUCAUUCCAUCAUAUAGUCUCAUGACCAAAAAUACUAAUUUUAUCAACAAUCUUAAAACUUUUAUUAUUUUCUAACGAUUAGAUGCAAGACAAACAUUUUUUAGAAUAAAAUUAUCAUGCAAGCUACCUACUAGGAUCAUGCUUGACUCAUUUCCCACAUUCUCAAUGAUUUCUUUUAGAACAUCAAACCUAAAAGAAGUAUUGUUACAAGAUUCAAUAAUACCUUUCUAAUGAAAGUAUUCUCUUAUCGAGUGCAAAAAAUAUCCAUAGUCUAUUCAAAUUGAUUUUAUCACUGUUUUGGUUAUAAAAAAUAAAAUCCUAAUUUUGUAAUCAAAUUAGUAUGUGUGGUGUGAUGUUUGAAAUAAUAUAUAUAAAGUUUAAAUGUUUAAUAUCUUGAAAUGUGCUAAUGAUCUGUGAUGUACGCAAGAUAAUGGGAAGAAAAUGAUGAUAUCUAGAAAUUUGUUUGUAAAAAAUGUUUUAUCAUUCUAUGUAACUUGGUGUAUCUAAAAUAUUUUAGGAUAAAAUAGUGUUAAAGUAAAUUGAAAAGUGAAUUCUAACAAAUCUCAAGAUACUCAAAAAGUUAACAAUAUAUCAUAGAAUAUCAUAAUAGUUUUUAAAUGAAAACCAAUGAACGAUCAAAUGAAUAAGAGAAUAAGUUGUAAUUAAUUAAACAACAAUAUAUAAAUGAAAGAAAAUGCAUGAACACAAUGAUAUAUGAGGUCAACCCUUAAACCCUUUGGAUCUCCAGUGUAAACCCCAGUAGACAAUGAAAUCACCUACCUUAGCAAAUAUAUUAAUUGAAAUAAAAAUACAAGUGCUAGAUGAUCUUAAAGUUGGUGUAAAAGUGCUCAAGUGUCAAGAUUAUGAGAGUAGGAAUCAAGGUUAGAGAGAGAGAGAGAGUGUGUGUGUGUGUGUGUGUGUGUAUGAAUGAUGAUCAACUAAUAUUUAUACAUAGUGACAACAAUAAAUAUUCUGACAUUCUAAGGAUCUUCCUUGAUUCUUGCUUGACUCGGUUUUCUCGAUAGUCUUCAAUGUUCAUAAGGAUUUGACCAUGUGUUAUUGAACUGGUGUACACUUCUUUGGUCAAACUCUUAGUCCCUUGCACAAAAAACACAAAGAUAGUCCAAGAUAAUGAUUAAAUGCAAGAUCUUAGGCUUGCCCGCGAUGUUAGUAUAAGUUCUAGAUAAAAAUGGUAAGAUAAAAGUUCUAUGCAUAAUAAUUACCUCCGUAAAUCUUCAAUCCACGAUCCUCAGUAAUUGGAAAUUUUUAGGCAUGAAACCCGUUUGGCAGGUAGUGAUGUGACAUGUCAUGUUUCUCCAAGGUUAAUCUUAUCUGUCCAAGCUUAUAGGAAAUUUGAAGUUUUGGAUGGCAUAGAUUAUCGUAACAAACCCUCAUAUAAAUCUGAGUCGACUUUCUUAUUUAGCUAUAGUUACAAGGGUUAUUUCUCUUCAUUCUUUCACUUCGUAAACUCUUUAACGUGGGCAAGAAGCUUACCAUGUCUAGGGAGAUCUAAUGCAGUAAUGCCCCCUAUUAUCGAGGGCUUCGUUGAUUUUGGAAUGCUACCCCAAGAUGAAAAUGAGAUUAACACUUUUUCUAAUGCCAAUAUUGAGUUACUUCGAUCAUCAGGUAAAUUUACUUCGUGCACUAAUUUUAGGGUUCUCGAAUCACUGCUGAGAUCAAACUAUUUUUCAUCUACCUAGGCUGUGUUUUAUAAGUUACCUUUCACUAUUGAUUUAUCAUUCCCUUUCCCCUACUGAUAUUGGAGUUUUUUUGAAGUCACUAGUCUUGCUUAUGCUUAAGUUAUGUUGGUUGUUUGGCGUAUGUUGUUCUAGAUUCAUCUUAUAAAUGAGUUUGAAGGUACUAACCAUUGGGUAUCCGAGAUAUCAACCAUUUUAAAUCUCAAAACUUUUGUUUAUUCCUUUGUUGUUCUUAUGAUAAACACUUCAAAACCUUACAUGGUUUUGAAAAGUUGUCCAACUGACCAGAACCGGAAGAAGCAAUACUUUUUGUCAAUAUUCCCUCUCUGGGACAUGAUCUCUUUCCAUCUACAGAUUGGGUUAUAGAAGGUAAGGUUUUGGUUCAUUUUCUUCCCUAUGUUUGUUCUAAAAUUUUAGUUUUCCAUCUUAUCUUGAAUAGUUAUCAAAUUGGAUGAACUCUGCCCGGCUCAUGAAGACACCGAUGAGAAAAUUCAUAAUUUUUUGAAGCUUUCUGAAGAAAAAACAAGUUUCAAGGUUGGCAUCGACUGUUUAUCUGAGGGGAAUUUGAAUACUUUUUAUGUGGUAUAGGAUCCGGAGCCAAUCGACAUGUCUGCAGCAUCUAUUACUAAAACUGAGAAGCAUUCUACUUCGGGUGUGAGAAAUUUGGAAACUAAGGAUAAAAGUCCACAGCCUAAUAAAAGAAAGGUUGCACUGGAAGCAAGACAAGAAAAUUUUGAAGGGUUGAAACCUUUUGAAGUUAAACUAAAGAUGAUAUCAUUGAAUCAAUGUGCUAAAAAAUUGAUGUUGAGGGAAGCUAAAGAAUUAGAAAGGGAACUUGAAGCUGUGAAACAACAAGUUGUCCAGGACAUGAAAGAAGAAGGAUAAGGAGCAAGCAAUUAAAAUGAAGGAAUUGACAACCAAGGACAUUGAAUUUGUUGGGCUUAUAGUGUUGCGUCAUGGGCUCGGUCCUUAGCCUAGUUUUGGUAGCCGGUUUGGGCUUGUCCAACCAUGCAUUAUUUUACUCUAGGGUUUUAGUAUUUAAGGUGCAUGCAUGCAUCAUUAGUCAGUUACACUUUUAUUAUUUUUCUCAUCAGUAUUGUAAACCCUAGCUCACCUCUAUAGUGGAAGUUCUUCAUCGAGCUCUGCUGAGGCGUGACUAUAUUUGAAUUAUAAGCUUUACAUUGAUUCCAUACUGUGUUCAUAAUCGUAUUGUGUUUGAAUUGUUUGUUCUU